rnacentral:lncRNA from 1 species
UUUCUUUUAGCUCUUUGAUGUCAUUCCACUGCCUCUGGCUUCCAAGGUUUCUGUUGAUAAAUCAUAUUGAGGAUCCCUUGUACACAUGAGUAACUUUUCUCUUGCUACUUUCAACAUUCUUUCUUAAUCUUUGUCUUUUGAUGGUGUGGUUAUGAUGUGUGUAGUUGUGGAUCUGUUUGAAUUUUUCCUACUUGGAGGUGGUUGGACUUCUUGGAUUUGUAAAUUAAUGCUUUUCAUCAAAUUGGGAAGUUUUCAGCCAUUUC